CACUGAAGAGGGUGACCACUGAAGAGGGUGAUCAUUGUUCGAGUGAGACGAGCCCCGGGUUGUAUGGAGUCAGCAUCCUUGUCCUGGACACGGCACUGUGCAGCGUGGCUCGAUGAGUUGUCACUGGAGAAAAUUGAUCUUACGGAAGAUGGACUUAACUCAGGCCUCUUCAGAAUGGACAAGUGAACCUGGAAAAAGACAGUCAAAUCUGUGCAGACAUUAAAGUCCACGUGAACGUGCUGUAUCCCUGAGCC